UAAAAUUUAAUUAUAUUCAUAUAUACUAUAAAGCAAAUAACCAAAGCAUAAAAUUACUUUUACAGCGACACGUGGGCCCACAUCUAACCAAAAUGCAUCGAAAGUUGAAAACCUACAGCUUUUGUCGAUUCAAGUCCAAAUGAAGGUCCUUGUCAAAGUCGGCUAACUAUGGAAUUCCCUGAGCCUAAAAUGUGAGGAAAUGAGGGUGGUGAAAUUAUAAAAUCCCAGUGAGUAAACAGACACCAUCUAAACUAUCUAAAGGCAAGUAAAUGGAGACGAAUUAAAAUAUUCUUUUCCAAUAUAUGUUUUAUAACAUGAAUAUUCAGUUUACUCAAUUAAUCAACAUGGCUUAUAUAUCUUACAAAACUUGGCUCUUGCCAAAAUUAUUCUCGAAGAUGCCUUGGCCUAGGCAUCUGACCGAGACCACCAAGGCUAUUAAAUAUCUUUACAUCCGAAAUUCUAGCCAUGCCUUGGCGUUGGCUGAGUCUCACUCUCACGCGGUGGUCCACGUGAACUGCACUCAAAUCUUUACCUCCAGAGAAACCCUCCACACGGCUCUCCGAUCGAGGUAAGGUAUAUCUGAUUCUGUGCCCCCUUUCUUAGGCUGGUCCACAAAACCUCCACUGUAGGAAUUAUAGAUUAUUUUAUCUACCACCUGAUUUAUAAAAUCUUUAUUUGCAUGACAUGGUAAUUUAUCGAAAUCUAGCCUCUCAAGGCUGAAUACAUAGUAUAUAUAUAAUUUUGAUACAAAUACCAACUUUGCCAUUCAUGCUCACAUAUUGCUAUAAGCCAUGUAAUUUAAAACACAAUUUAUAACACAAGCGGGCAGUCUCACAUUACUCUAUUUUCAAAACCAGUAUUCAAUUUUCCAGAAAAUUUAUAAAAUCACAAUUUCUCUUAAAACAUAGCAAUUUACCAUUUAAACCCAUUUUUUAUAAAAUCACACAAUUGUGUAAAACUACUCUAGAUAAUUAAGACGAUAAUAAGUUUACUCACAGUUUUAGAAGUCGAUGUACUCCUAAUCCU
rnacentral:lncRNA from 1 species